rnacentral:rRNA from 1 species
GACAGAGGGUGCGAACGUUGUUCGGAAUUACUGGGCGUAAAGCGCGUGUAGGCUGUUCGGAAAGUCGGGUGUGAAAGCCCUGGGCUCAGCCUAGGAAGUGCACUCGAAACUCCCGAACUGGAGUCCCGGAGAGGAAGGUGGAAUUCUCGGUGUAGAGGUGAAAUUCGUAGAUAUCGAGAGGAACAUCGGUGGCGAAGGCGGCCUUCUAGACGGUGACUGACGCUGAGACGCGAAAGCGUGGGGAGCGAACAGG